GACGAACGCUGGCGGCGUGCUUAACACAUGCAAGUCGAACGAAGUGGCGAACGGGUGAGUAAUACGUUGGUAACCUGCCCUCCUUUUUGGGAUAAGCCUUGGAAACGGGGUCUAAUACCGAAUAAAGGGGGAUGGGCUCGCGGCCUAUCAGCUUGUUGGUGGGGUGAUGGCCUACCAAGGCGGUGACGGGUAGCCGGCCUGAGAGGGUGACCGGCCAUAUUGGUACUGAGAUACGGCCCAGACUCCUACGGGAGGGAGCAGGGGGGGGUAUGGCACAAUGGGCGAAAGCCUGAUGCGUCGACGCCGCGUGGGGGGUGAAGGCUUUCGGGUUGUAAGCCUCGUUCGCUAUCGAAGGGGUAGGUGGAGAAGAAGCGCCGGCUAACUACGUGCCAGCAGCCGCGGUAAUAC
rnacentral:rRNA from 1 species